rnacentral:rRNA from 1 species
AGGCAGCAGUGGGGAAUAUUGCACAAUGGGGGAAACCCUGAUGCAGCCAUGCCGCGUGUGUGAAGAAGGCCUUCGGGUUGUAAAGCACUUUCAGUAGGGAGGAAGGUAGUGUAGUUAACACCUGCAUUAUUUGACGUUACCUACAGAAGAAGCACCGGCUAACUCCGUGCCAGCAGCCGCGGUAAUACGGAGGGUGCGAGCGUUAAUCGGAAUUACUGGGCGUAAAGCGCAUGCAGGCGGCUUGUUAAGUCAGAUGUGAAAGCCCGGGGCUUAACCUCGGAAUUGCAUUUGAAACUGGCAGGCUAGAGUCUUGUAGAGGGGGGUAGGAAUUUCAGGUGUAGCGGUGAAAUGCGUAGAGAUCUGAAGGAAUACCAGUGGCGAAGGCGGCCCCCUGGACAAAGACUGACGCUCAGAUGCGAAAGCGUGGGGAGCAAACAGGAUUAGAUACCCUGGUAG